GCUGGGCAUGGUGGAGCAUGCCUGUAAUCCUAGCUACUCAGGAGGUGAAGGUGGGAGGAUUGCUUGAGCACAAGAGUUCAAGGCUGCAGUGAGCUUUGAUUGUACAACAGGCCACUGUACUCUAGCCUGUGUGAGAGAGCAAGACCCUAUCUCUC
ensembl:misc_RNA Metazoa_SRP Metazoan signal recognition particle RNA